UCUUUUCUCACCACUCUUUAAACCUGGCAUGAAGUCAGGGCCCACCUCAGACAAGAGUGGUAGUUCAGAGCUUUGCACAAGAGACUGUGGAAGUGUCUGAAAUGCCACCAGUGUUAUGGGGUGUAUUAUUAGUCUCUAACUCCAUAAUUCAGUAUGAUUAUUUUAGACUUGGCUGUGGGUGUUGAAGGAGUGGGAUGCAUGAUAGCUGGGAGGACAGGAUUCCUACCAGAUAGGCUUUCUGGGCAUCAAGACUGUUCUGAAGAAACAACUUUUGACUUGAAGAACUGCUUCUCACCUGGGUGGAUUUCCCUUUGGGGAUAAACUAAAUGCAGAGGUCAUUAGCAGAACAGCGACAGAAAAUAACUCCUCACAUGAGGUGUCAUCAAUUGACAUGAAAACUCCAAAAAAAAUGCGUGUCUCUCCACCUCAGAGCACCACAGCUCAUCAAUAGGUAGUUGAGCAAGCAGGACUUGCUCGGGCAAGAUUGUUUGCAAAUUGGAACAAGGUGAAAACUGCUUA